rnacentral:rRNA from 1 species
UACGAGGGGGGCGAGCGUUGUUCGGAAUUAUUGGGCGUAAAGGGUGCGUAGGCGGUUCCGCAAGUCCUGUGUGAAAUCUUCGGGCUCAACUCGAAGUCUGCACGGGAAACUGCGGGGCUGAGUGUGGGAGAGGUGAGUGGAAUUCCCGGUGUAGCGGUGAAAAUGCGUAGAUAUCGGGGAGGAACACCUGUGGCGAAAAGCGGCUCACUGGACCACAACUGACGCUGAUGCACGAAAGCUAGGGGGAGCAAACAGGAUUAGA